rnacentral:misc_RNA from 1 species
UCUCCGUAGGUGAACCUGCGGAGGGAUCAUUACCGAGUGAGGGUCCUUGUGGCCCGACCUCCAACCCCCUGUCUUCCGACUCUGUUGCUUCGGGGGCGACCCCGCCGUUUCGGCGGUGGCGCUCCCGGUGGCCAAUUAUUAAACUCUGCAUCUCUUGCGUCGGAGUCUUAAAGAAAUUUAAACAAAACUUUCAACAACGGAUCUCUUGGUUCUGGCAUCGAUGAAGAACGCAGC